rnacentral:rRNA from 1 species
GAUAAACGCUGGCGGCGUGCAUAACACAUGCAAGUCGAACGAAGUGGCGAACGGGUGAGUAACACGUGAGAAACCUGCCUUACACAAGGGGAUAGCCUUUGGCAACGAAGAAUAAUACCCUAUAGUGUAAGAUGGACUUGCGUCCGAUUAGCUAGUUGGGGAGAUAAAGGCCCACCAAGGCAACGAUCAGUACCCGGCUUGCAGGAGCGGCCGGCCACCUUGGGACUGAGACACGGCCCCAACUCUCCGGGAGGCCGCAAUGGGGAAUUUUGCACACUGUGCGAAACACUGAUGCCGCGUCGCCGUGUGAUUUGGAAAGCCUUCGGGUGGUGAAAAUCUUUUAUAAGGGAUGCCUUACCAUAAGAAUAAGGUCCGGCUAAAUACGUGCCAGCAGCCGCGGUAAUAC